GAUGGACAUGGUGGCAUGCGCCUAUAGUCCCAGGUACUUGGGAGGCUGAGACAGGAGGAUUGCUUGAGUCCAGGAGUUCUGGGCUGUACUGCACUAUGCCGAUUUGGGUGUCCCCACUAAGUUCAGCAUCAAUAUGGUGACCUCUUGGGAGCGGGGAGCCACCAGGUUGCCUAAGGAAGGGUGAACCAACCCAGGUCGGAAACAGAGCAGGUCAAAACACCCAUGCUGAUCAGUCCUGGGAUCAUGCCUGUGAAUAGCCACUGCACUCCAGCCUGGGCAACAUAGCAAAUCCCCAUCUCUG
rfam:Otolemur garnettii contig036917, whole genome shotgun sequence.